GGGGGGGGGGGGGGGGGGGGGGGGGGGGGGCGGGGGGGGGGGACGGAGGGGGGGGGGGCGCCGGGGACGUUAGCGGCGGACGGGUGAGUAAGACGGGGAUGACCGACGUAUAAGACGGGGAUAACGUCGGGACACCGGAGCUAAUACCGGAUAAUAUAUUGAACCGCAUGGUUCAAUAGUGAAAGACGGUUUUGCUGUCACUUAUAGAUGGAUCCGCGCCGCAUUAGCUAGUUGGUAAGGUAACGGCUUACCAAGGCAACGAUGCGUAGCCGACCUGAGAGGGUGAUCGGCCACACUGGAAAUGAGACACGGUCCAGACUCCUACGGGAGGCAGCAGUAGGGAAUCUUCCGCAAUGGGCGGAAGCCUGACGGAGCAACGCCGCGUGGGUGAUGAAGGUCUUCGGAUCGUAAAACUCUGUUAUUAGGGAAGAACAAAUGUGUAAGUAACUAUGCACGUCUUGACGGUACCUAAUCAGAAAGCCACGGCUAACUACGUG
rnacentral:rRNA from 1 species